rnacentral:sRNA from 2 species
CCGCACGGACCGCAUGAACUGCGCAAGGGAACCGGGGAACCAUCACCUUGGGGUGAAUCGGACGCCUCAGCCAGAGGGUGCCCGUAGGAGACCUUCCUGCUCCGAACCCGUCAGCUAACCCGGUAGGCGAGAAGGAAGGAAAGG